AAAGCCCUUUGACAGAGGGUCCUUGAAGGGAACCCAGGGUUCAGAUUACUGUUGAUUUGUCAGCUUCCUCAAGAGCUGGACUGAUUAGACUAAUGGCAUAUAGGGGAUAUGAUUUCAACAUUAAAGUCCUGUAUUGUGGAGGCAGACAAAUGAAGAAAGUUAGAUCCUCCAGUAAACAGAACCUACAACUCAAGGCAACAACCCAUUAAGUAGAAUCUUAAAGGGAAUAAACACACACCAAAAGAAUCCUGGGUUUAGCAGAAAAGCUUGUGAUGAAAGAGAUUGGUUGCAUCAGUGGGAGUUCCUGGCAAGACCCAGUUUCCCAGAGAAGAGCUUGCCUUGGGUAAUCUCACAGAAAAAGAAACACUGCAAUGUGGCUGGGUGCCAAGCACAAAGGAUUGCCAAGAGAAAUUCUCAGAGAUUCAUCUGCCUGAAGGACUUGGAUUUCAGGAAGAACAUCGAGUAUCAAAGAACUUGCAACAUGAUCACAAGCACCAGCAAUGCUGAGUUGCAUGAGACAACACCUGCAGGUUACAAGAAACAAGUUAAGCACUGUGGGAAAAGUUCACCUCACUCAGCCCCCAUAGGGCCAAAACAGGGAGCUUCUAUAAACACCUCAGCUCCUUCUAUCCAAAUCC